GAAAUAUGAAAUUCAAGGAUAAGCUUCUAACUUUUUCCUUAAGCGGCGCACCUCCGUUUAUAUUUCU
rnacentral:tRNA from 1 species